rnacentral:piRNA from 1 species
UGUAAUUGGGACCAAGUUAGUGGGAA